ensembl:snRNA U6 U6 spliceosomal RNA
GUGCUCACUUUGGCAGCACAUCUACUAAAAUUGAGAUGGCCCCUGUGUAAGGAUGACACACAAAUUUGUGAAGUAUUCUAUAUUUUU